GGACUGUGCAAGAUUCUGGGGAUAGAGCAUGCAGCUAAAAAAGGCCCCUGUCCCAAUGAGUCAAAGGUAUAUCAAAACUCUGUACUACUCCACCUCUGUGGUUGAAGAUCAAGGGCUCAAGUACUGAGAAAGGCCACCAAGAAACCCAAGCAGUGUGACUCUUAAUACAAAACAAGAAAUUAAUCUACUGCUAGCUUAAAAUCUUCAAACGUUUGCAUUAAACUGAGGGGAUUCUACAAUGUGGCAGUUCCAGUUUAAAAGUGGAGACAGCUCUGAACAAACCAUGAC